rnacentral:lncRNA from 1 species
GGUGAAAUCAUUUGCAAAGCUGAUUGAUGCCUACCUAGUUCAUGCCUCUAUUCAUCACAACAUAAAGUGAACCUUAUAUCCAUGACCUUCACAGACAAAAGGCAAAUUAGGGUGUCCACUUUCUUGAAGACCUUCUGUGUAUCUCUCUGGAUUAAAAAAAAAAAAAAAAGGUGACAUUGGAAGUUGAUCUGUGUUGAACAGGGAGGUCAAGGACAAAAGGGUGCCUCAUUAACUGUGAGCUAGAGCUAACCCUUGACCUAGUUCUGAAGUUGAUCAGUCUUGUCUUUGGCCCUAGAGUCCUCUUUCUGGGUUCUUGGCUCUUCUCCAGGUCACUACCUCUCUGCCCCAUAUACUCCCCCCUCUCCACUCUGCUUUUAGGAAACAGGCUUCAGCCUGCUAGAAAUUUAAGUCAUUUCAUGGGGUAUGCAUGUUAAUUCGGGUUUCAAUGAAGAAUUUGUCCUCAUCAAAGAAACUUUAGGCCCAGCCAGGAAAUAGACAGGAAUCGGGGCAGGGUAUCGAGGGAGGACUUGUCAUUGGGAAAUGUGAUAUUCUUAAUAGGGAGGCAAUCACUCUAAGCUGACUUGCACCCUGAGAAUUGUAUCCAGGCUGUUCUGCGUGUCAGGGCUCAGUGCUGCUGUUCAAAAAAGAUGUUUUGGUGAUGAAAUAAGAGCUCGCAUAUCUGUUUCAGGAGCUGACUGCAUUCCGGCAAGGCUCCUGACUUGAGCAGGCUGAGUCAGGGAUGAGCCUAAUUGUUAGAUAAAGCCAGAGAGUUGCAGGUUUCUCAAGACUUUGUAUGCUGAUACUGUGUGGGAGUAUUUCUCUUUCCUUAAAUGGAUCAUUAGAAAGGAUUGGAUGCAAAUCAAGAAUUCAAUCUCUAACCAAACAAAUUUCCACCCACACAGAUAACUCGACCCAUUUUAGUACAGCCAACUUGUAACAAAAAAAAGAUUUUCUUCCUCUCUGAGGAUGACUUUUUUUUCUAUGGAAAGAGAUGAGACUCUAGAGGGGUCCUUUAAAGGUCCCGUCUGGACUCCUGUAAUCUAACAUGUCACAGUUAAAAGGCAAAACCUCUGAACCAUGUGCUCUCAUUUGCUGUUCAUGUUGCGCCUGGGAUCAAGACCUGCUGACAGCUGCACACUCCUCCAGGAGACAUGGAGCAGGUUAUGACUGAGGGCCCUUAGCCCAGGGUCUAUAAGACCCCUGCUCUGAUCAGGAGGUCAAGGGCAGAGGGUACCUCAGUAACUGAACCCGAGUUGACCCUUGACCCAGUUCUAUAGUGGGCCAUUCUUGCUUUUGUCCCCAGGUUCCCAUUUCUAUGUCCUUUGCUCUUCUCCAAGUCACUACCGCCCUGCCCCAUGCUCUCUUCUCUCUUCUCGCUCUGCUUUCAAGAAACGGUUAAGACAGGUUUCAGCCUGGUAAGAAUUUAAGUCAUUUCGUGGGUUACGCAUGUUAAUCAGACAGACAAGUGUGACAUCAGAUUCUGCCCCAAGAAGCUUGGACAAGAUCUUGAACAAGACACUUAAACCUCCUGAGCCUUGGAAUCUUCUGGAUCUAAAAAACAGGGCUGCUAAGGCCCCCCUCCCAGCUCUGCUGUGAAGAUCACUUAGGAUGCCUGUGUCAAGCACCCGCACAUGGCUAUCACUCUGUUGUCAGCUGGUAGUUAUAUAAAGAGCUUUUUCUAGGCCUGCUUUUCUCUUUUCAUUUUUUCUCUUCACAGAAAUUAUCUCCUGAUCAUGCAGAAGACCAUAAUUGUAGACAUUUUGGAAAACAUAGAAAAACAUAAGAAAGAAAAUUAAAAUUGCUUAUGUUCCCAACACUCAGAAAGAACCACUGUGAAUAUAUUGGUAUGCUUUCUCUAAUGUCAUACCACAUAUAUACACGAAUAGCCACCCCGACAUACCUGUAGCUUUGUAGCUGACAAUUAUAUUGCUUUUUCUUUUUUUAGCUAACAUUAUAUUUUGAGCAUUUUCUCAUAUUAUUAUAAAGUAUUUAAG